UACGUAGGGUGCGAGCGUUAAUCGGAAUUACUGGGCGUAAAGCGUGCGCAGGCGGUUUUCCAAGACAGAUGUGAAAUCCCCGGGCUCAACCUGGGAAUGGCAUUUGUGACUGGGAGGCUAGAGUGUGUCAGAGGGGGGUAGAAUUCCACGUGUAGCAGUGAAAUGCGUAGAGAUGUGGAGGAAUACCGAUGGCGAAGGCAGCCCCCUGGGAUAACACUGACGCUCAUGCACGAAAGCGUGGGGAGCAAACAGG
rnacentral:rRNA from 2 species